UGUCGCUCACCGCACAGCGCGGUGUGAGGAAAGUCCGAGCAACAUAGAGCAUCAUAUUUCCUAACGGGAAGCUAUUUGCGAGAGUAGAGUAGUGUGACAGAAAAUAACCGCCGCACAUGCGGUAAGGGUGAAAAGGCGGGGUAAGAGCCCACCGGGUGCCAUGGCAACAUGGCAUGCCGCACACCUUAUGAGUUGCAAGGCCAAGUAUAUCGGCAUUUAAGGGCUGCUCGUCCAUUGUCGAGGGGUAGGCUGCUACAUAUAAAAUCAUAGGCAACUAUGGUUUCAGAUAAAUGACAAGCGGUGCCGUGAAGCCUUCGGGAACCAGCGGCAUUACAUAACUCGGCUUACAGCAGG
rnacentral:RNase_P_RNA from 1 species